rnacentral:rRNA from 1 species
GAGAGAGACAUGCGCGCAUAUCAAUAAGCGGAGGAAAAGUCAACUACCUACGCUUAGGAUGUUGACGAGACUGUCGAUCUCAUCUAUACAUGACUCUGUGCAUAUCAAUAAGCGGAGGAAAAGAAACUAACUAGGAUUCCCUCAGUAACGGCGAGUGAAGCGGGAAGAGCUCAAAUUUGAAAUCCUUCAAGGGUUCUACCUUUACGAAUUGUAGUUUAAAGAAGUGUUUUCUGUUGAGGUUUUGGUAAAAGUUCUUUGGAAUAGGACAUCAUAGAGGGUGAGGAAUCCCGUAUUUGACCUUUACUUUCAACUUUGUGAUACACUUUCAGAGAGUCGGAUUGUUUGGGAAUGCAGUCCAAAAUGGGUGGUAAAUUUCAUCUAAAGCUAAAUAUUGGCGAGAGACCGAUAGCGAACAAGUACCGUGAGGGAAAGAUGAAAAGAACUUUGAAAAGAGAGUUAAACAGUACGUGAAAUUGUCAAAAGGGAAGCGUUUGACACCAGUGUUGUUUUUCUGAAAAUCAAUUAAAGAACUGUUUAUGCUAAGUUGUUUAGACUUUAUCAGCUAACUGUCUAGUUUUGAGCUUUUCUUUAAUGCACUUUCAGUUAACAAGUCAACAUCAAUUUCUUUUGCUGUAAAAAAGCUUGAGGAAGGUGGCUUGAGAUUCGUCUUAAGUGUUUAUAGCCUCUUGCCUAUGCAGUCGGAGAGAUUGAGGUCUGCAGCGUAGAUCCUUCGGGGCUAAAUGCAUUUGUGCUAAGUUAUAGCCUUUUCAUAGACAACUUGUUGACUAUGAUCUGUCAUGUAGCUUACUCGCUUAUGCUAUUUUACCUACGCUUAGGAUGUUGAGCGCAUGUCUCUCUCU